rnacentral:lncRNA from 1 species
UUAUAUGUACAUGCCCGCCUCUAUCUAGCACGAGGCCUUUUGGGAGCUUACUGGCUUCGGAGUCAUGGGAACUCUGAAGUUAAGUGGGUGACCUAGUGGGAAGUUGCUCGUGAGUUCCCAUAAAUAAAACCAUGAGGGCAGAGAAGGGGCCCAAAGUGGACAAUAUCGUACUACGGCAGAGCCGAUCCCGGGAUGUGACAAUAAGACAUUGAGAGCAUCCGACAAAGAACACAAUAUGCCAAAAAGAAAGAAAACAUCCACUAAGC